rnacentral:rRNA from 1 species
CCUACGGGUGGCAGCAGUGGGGGAUAUUGCACAAUGGGGGAAACCCUGAUGCAGCGACGCCGCGUGGGUGAAGAAGCGCCUCGGCGCGUAAAGCCCUGUCAGCAGGGAAGAAAAUGACGGUACCUGAAGAAUAAGCCCCGGCUAACUACGUGCCAGCAGCCGCGGUAAUACGUAGGGGGCAAGCGUUAGCCGGAUGUACUGGGUGUAAAGGGGGCGCAGACGGGGAUGCAAGCCAGGAGUGAAAGCCCGGGGCCCAACCCCGGGACUGCUCUUGGAACUGCGUGGCUAGAGUGCAGGAGGGGCAGGCGGAAUUCCAGGUGUAGCGGUGAAAUGCGUAGAUAUAAGGAGGAACACCGGUGGCGAAGGCGGCCUGCUGGACUGCAACUGACGUUGAGGUCCGAAAGCGUGGGGAGCAAACAGGAUUAGAUACCCCUGUAGUC